rnacentral:rRNA from 1 species
GACGAACGCUGGCGGCGUGCUUAACACAUGCAAGUCGAACGGAAAGGCCCCUUUGGGGGUACUCGAGUGGCGAACGGGUGAGUAACACGUGAGUAACCUGCCCUUGACUUCGGGAUAACUUCAGGAAACUGGGGCUAAUACCGGAUAGGAAUCCUUGCUGCAUGGUGGGGGUUGGAAAGCUUCGGCGGUUUUGGAUGGACUCGCGGCUUAUCAGCUUGCUGGUGGGGUAGUGGCUUACCAAGGCUUUGACGGGUAGCCGGCCUGAGAGGGCGACCGGCCACAUUGGGACUGAGAUACGGCCCAGCCUCCUACGGGAGGAAGCAGUGGGGAAUAUUGCACAAUGGGCGGAAGCCUGAUGCAGCAACGCCGCGGGCGGGAUGACGGCCUUCGGGUUGUAAACCGCGUUAAGCAGGGGCGAAGCUUGUGGUGACGGUACCUGCAGAAGAAGCACCGGCUAACUACGUG